UAUGGCCAUAUCAUGUUAAAACACUGGUUCUUGUCUGAUCACUGAAGUUAAGCAAUGUUGAGUCUGGUCCGCAUCUAGAUGGGUGACUGCUUGGGAAUACCAGGUGCUGUAAG